UGGGGAAUAUUGCACAAUGGGCGCAAGCCUGAUGCAGCCAUGCCGCGUGUGUGAAGAAGGCCUUCGGGUUGUAAAGCACUUUCAGCGAGGAGGAAGGUGGUGAGCUUAAUACGCUCAUCAAUUGACGUUACUCGCAGAAGAAGCACCGGCUAACUCCGUGCCAGCAGCCGCGGUAAUACGGAGGGUGCAAGCGUUAAUCGGAAUUACUGGGCGUAAAGCGCACGCAGGCGGUUUGUUAAGUCAGAUGUGAAAUCCCCGGGCUCAACCUGGGAACUGCAUUUGAAACUGGCAAGCUAGAGUCUCGUAGAGGGGGGUAGAAUUCCAGGUGUAGCGGUGAAAUGCGUAGAGAUCUGGAGGAAUACCGGUGGCGAAGGCGGCCCCCCUGGACGAAGACUGACGCUCAGGUGCGAAAGCGUGGGGCAGCAAACAGGAUUAGAUACCCUGGUAGUCCAGCGCUGUAAAACGAUGUCGACUUUGGAGGUUGUGCCCUUGAGGCGUGGCUUCCGGAGCUAACGCGUUAAAUCGACCGCCUGGGGAGUACGGCCGCAAGGUUAAAACUCAAAUGAAUUGAC
rnacentral:rRNA from 1 species